GAGAGGUGCUGCGCAGCGCAAUAAUCACCGGCCUCCCAGGCGCUAAAAUAACACAAUCGGCGCCACUGCUUUCACUUUAGGGGAGCAGUGAGAAUUGUUUUAUAAUCAGAUAAGUAGUUUUGCCUGGAUCUGCCUCAGGAAUAGAUUCCUUUUCUCCUUAUAGGGUUUCUGGAAGACCAUGGUGAAGUGACUAGAAGGAGUCAAAUCCUUACCCCAGAAGAAAUUAGGACCUACAAAGCAAACAUUAUCUGCCACAUGAUCUAAAUACGCUUCUAUAUUGGUGAAACAAGAGGCCGGU